UCCCUGGUGGCUCAGAUGGUAAAGAAUCUGCUUGCAGUGCAGGAGACCCAGGUUCGAUCCCUGGGCUGGGAA
rnacentral:tRNA from 1 species